rnacentral:rRNA from 1 species
CCCUAUGGGGUGCCGCAGGCGGACUGGUAAGUCAGGGGUGAAAAUCUACGGCUCAACUGUAGACGUGCCUUUGAUACUGCCGGACUAGAGUUAAGAUGGAGUGAGCGGAAUGUGUUGUGUAGCGGUGAAAUGCUUAGAUAUAACAACGAACACCGAUCGCGAAGGCAGCUCACUAAACUUUGACUGACGCUCAUGCACGAAAGCGUGGGGAUCAAACA